rnacentral:misc_RNA from 1 species
GGAAAACUUAUAAUGCUCUUGCCAUAACAUGUAAAUGUAAUACUCUUCUUUUUUAAAUGAUAUUUUUAGUACCUGAUCACACAUUUUGCAAUAAGUUGCUUUAUAUGAAUACACUAAACUAAUUUUAUUGCUUACAUGUGCAAAAAUGUUGAAAGAAUUACUUAUCAAACUUCUCAAAUUAGUGAUUCUGUGAAAACUCAUGAGUUACAAAUCAUGGUUGUCUUUCCUUGUCCUUAGUAAACCAGUACCUGGUACAAUAAUUUUAAGUGCAGCAUUAUAAAGAUAAAUAGUAAGAUGUGAUGUUAAGUGAGUAGGUAGUUAUAGAAUGUUGUAAUAUUGUUUUGAAUGAAAUGAUCAUAUUAUUAUGUUUGACAAUAAAGGUUAUUGAAUUGAG